CAGUGGACCAAUGGCAGUGAAGUCACCUUCACAGCCGGGCAUUUUGUACGUUCCUAAAAUGUUGAAAUGUCUGAGAUCUUUAAGGAAACAUUACUCCACCCUCCCACCUUAGGCUAGAUUUAUCCAAGUAUUCCUAGUCCCCAGUAACACACUGCCCUCCAAUCUGUCCUGGUUACCCAGGAAGGAAUGAAAGAAAGGCUUUGACAUACAAAAGUAUAAAUGUAGUGACAGCUGACCAUUUAGUAGAAAGGAACCUUGCCUUACACAGCUUGGUGUGACUAGAAAACGUAGGCCUUCUCUCUCCCCACCCCUAAGCCUAUUCCUUUAGGCAUGCAGGUAACUCUUCCUCCCCUCUCCAUUUCUCCUCAUUCCACCAGGGAACCCUGACUAAGGAACAAAGAAGUCCUACAAAGGGGAGGUCUCAAGUGCCAAUCAGCAGCCAUUUGAUGAUGGCAGAGGAUGGCCACCUCAAAGCAGAGACAUGAUAAGCAGUUGCUUGUUGACUGUGGAGCACUACAGAGAAGCCUGGAUGGAGAAAGGUAUCAGGUAACAGGGAGGCCACUCUACUGCCUAUGCCCCUGCCCCCUUUGAGCGUCCUCCUAUAGAUCCUGUUCCGGAAGCCUAGGACUGCUGGCUGGCUAAGGACAGGGAAGGUGACUAGGAGGAUGGCCACCCACCUCGCUCCACUUCCAGCCGGCGCUGUCGCUCUCGUUCCUGAUCUGCCUGCACGGCCUUCAUGUGCUGUAACACCUGCAGGAGAGAAGAGGCUCUGAGCGCGCAGGUAGCAGUCUUCACAGCCCAUGUCUGUUCAGGACUCAAGAAAGCGACUGUUCAUUUCAGGAUCCUAGACUAUCGGGCCCCGAAGGUGGGACAGAGCCAAUGGAGAUAAUCCUAUCUUUGUAUCUUAAAUACUUCAUUGCAGAAGAGUCACGAGUCCAGUUCAUAAGACUGUCAGAAAAAAGCUUCCGGUAAAACACUACACCAACUAGAAUCUAUGAAAAGUUCUGUCGUUCACACGACCCUCACAGUUCGCAUAAUUCAUCCAGUGGCUCCCUGUUGUCCCCAGGGAGACAGCAUUCCUUCACCAUGUUCUCCUGACCCCUCUCCUUUGGCUAACACAGGCCCUUAGCCUGUUCCUGUUCAUACACUAUAAUUCCCUCUGGUUUCUUGUUGGUUUGGGUUUCUUGAGAUAAAGUAAUGAUCAGUAAGUAUCCCAGGCUAGCCCUGCAUUUGUGGCAGUCCUGACAGGCAUGAGCCAGCACACCAGCUAAGCCACUGGCAGGCACUGUUCUGUUCCUAGGCUAGGUGUGACUGUGAAGGCCCUAGACCCACCUGACUCUCUAUUACAAAAGGAAGAAAAUCCAGACAGACUGAUGUGCCCAGGGCACACAGCACAAAGUAGCACAACGGAGGUCUGAGCACUGACCCCCUGAGCAGAAGACAGCUCCAGGAGAAAGGCCCAAACACUGCCCACUGUCAUCAGUACCCAGGGCCCCCAAUUCUCAGGCUCAACUCAUGGAUGACGACCUCUAACUGAACGAGUCGCAAAUGUUCUCACUGUGGACACAGAGGAGGAGCCAAAAUCCUUUUAUCAUUUCUAUUUAUUUGUUUUUGUAGAGCUUCUACAUAUUAAACACAUGCUCUACUACUGAGCUACCCAUCCCC